rnacentral:tRNA from 8 species
GCCCAGGUAGCUCAGUUGGUAGAGCAGGGGAUUGAAAAUCCCCGUGUCGGCAGUUCGAUUCUGUCCCUGGGCACCA